AGAGUUUGAUCAUGGCUCAGGAUGAACGCUGGCGGCGUGCCUAACACAUGCAAGUCGAGCGAUUUACUUCGGUAAAGAGCGGCGGACGGGUGAGUAACGCGUGGGUAACCUGCCUCAUACACAUGGAUAACAUACCGAAAGGUAUGCUAAUACAAGAUAAUAUAAGAGGUUCGCAUGGAUUUCUUAUCAAAGCUCCGGCGGUAUGAGAUGGACCCGCGUCUGAUUAGCUAGUUGGUAAGGUAACGGCUUACCAAGGCGACGAUCAGUAGCCGACCUGAGAGGGUGAUCGGCCACAUUGGAACUGAGACACGGUCCAAACUCCUACGGGAGGCAGCAGUGGGGAAUAUUGCACAAUGGGCGAAAGCCUGAUGCAGCAACGCCGCGUGAGCGAUGAAGGCCUUCGGGUCGUAAAGCUCUGUCCUCAAGGAAGAUAAUGACGGUACUUGAGGAGGAAGCCCCGGCUAACUACGUGCCAGCAGCCGCGGUAAUACGUAGGGGGCUAGCGUUAUCCGGAUUUACUGGGCGUAAAGGGUGCGUAGGUGGUUUCUUAAGUCAGGAGUGAAAGGCUACGGCUUAACCGUAGUAAGCUCUUGAAACUGGGAAACUUGAGUGCAGGAGAGGAAAGUGGAAUUCCUAGUGUAGCGGUGAAAUGCGUAGAUAUUAGGAGGAACACCAGUAGCGAAGGCGGCUUUCUGGACUGUAACUGACACUGAGGCACGAAAGCGUGGGGAGCAAACAGGAUUAGAUACCCUGGUAGUCCACGCCGUAAACGAUGAGUACUAGGUGUCGGGGGUUACCCCCCUCGGUGCCGCAGCUAACGCAUUAAGUACUCCGCCUGGGGAGUACGCUCGCAAGAGUGAAACUCAAAUGAAUUGACGG
rnacentral:rRNA from 1 species